AUGAAAACAGAGCAUAGCCAGUCAGACGGCUGGAGCAGUGAUGAAGUAGAGGAUGGUGAUGAUGACGACAAUGCUUCUCAGCCAUUGCUUCCCGAGACCGUUCGUUAUACAGGUCGACCGAUUGUGUCAGAAGAGGAGCUUGCUAGACUUGCAGUGAUAUCCCCAUCUAAGAAUGGGCAGUACUCUGGCUCUAGGGUCAAAGCCCUCAUACACGCCCUUGAACAGUUAGAAAAACAAGAUCUGAUCAAAGAGUUUAUGGCUUUAGAGCAUUUGAAACCUUCAGACAACUGCCUGGUUGGAAAAGCACAUGAAAACCGGAAGAAGAACAGAUACAGAGAUAUCCUGCCCUGUAAGUUCCUCUGCUUCUCCUAUAAUCCACCACAAACCUAGUUAGAAUUUUUAUUGCCGUUUUAUAGUUUGCAAGCCUCAGUUCUCAUAAAACAGAUUUUUGGGUGUACAUUUUCACACCAUUUUGCAACCACAUGGACCACACACUGUACAUUGCCAGGAAACUCUAAUUUAUAAUAUAAAUAAAAAAUGAAUGCAGAUUUUUUACA
ensembl:lncRNA